CAGUAGCCGCGGUAAUACGUAGGGUGCGAGCGUUAAUCGGAGUUACUGGGCGUAAAGCGUGCGCAGGCGGUUCGUUAAGACAGAUGUGAAAUCCCCGGGCUUAACCUGGGAACUGCAUUUGUGACUGGCGAGCUAGAGUAUGGCAGAGGGGGGUAGAAUUCCACGUGUAGCAGUGAAAUGCGUAGAGAUGUGGAGGAAUACCGAUGGCGAAGGCAGCCCCCUGGGCCAAUACUGACGCUCAUGCACGAAAGCGUGGGGAGCAAACAGGAUUAGAGACCCCAGUAGUCCCUGUCUCUUAUAC
rnacentral:rRNA from 1 species